GCCGGCGGCGCGGACCUCCUUGUCAAUGGGAGCGCGGGGCCGGGCUGCCCGCAGGACGGUCAGGUGGGCCCCCCAGCUCGCUGCCAGCGCGGCCUCUGUCCCUCUCGGGCCGGCUCUCCAUCUUGUCGCCCGUAGCCCGCCUUCUCCGUGGCUCUCCAGCCGCUGGGGCCGCAGAGCCGAGGCCGGGUUACCUCAGGAAACGCGAUGUGGUAGUGGGUCGGAAUAAACCCGCGCGCCCCAGAAUUCGCCUUGGGGGCGUAAGGACAGAUUCGGACUUUUCGUUUCCUAUGUCCACAUUUAUUGAGCACCUAAUAUGUGACACCCGAGGCUGUAAGAAGAGGAACGCAGCGGGCGGAGAAAAGCCAGAGCUUUUUCUCUGUGAGCCGCUGCCUCCAGGGCCAUAGCCGACCCUGCUCCGAGAUCCCAGCCGCCGCUCUCCGUGCAGGAGGGGUGCCCACCCUGGGGAGGCCAGGGUGCCCGGAGUGGAGGGACAGGGCUUCAAGCGACCGGGAGUUUCCAGCAAACCCCUGAUCCCUGAGCAGUUUAUUUUAAAAGCUUUUGCAAAUGUUGGACGGUUUCGUUUGGUGGAGGCCGUCUUUGCACUAAAUUCUCCUGUCCUCCCCCUUCGAAACGCACAAAAUGAAUUUUGAACAGAUUUUGGAUGAGAGGUUUUCUUCCUUUUUUCAUCUUCUGAAACAUUUCCCCCUCAUUUCUUCUCAGAUAAAGACCCAGAAACCCGGGACAGUUACUCGGUGUACAGCUAGUCAAAUACUGAGGAAACCAGUCGAUAUUUGCCAAAGAUUGGGCAUGUUCUGGGUGGUCUCAGAUUUUGAAGAAACGACUUUUUUACUGCACAAAAUAGUUUUACAAUCAGUUCCAUCAGACAGCCCCAGGGGCUCUCCUAGGGAAAGGGGCCAAUAGGCAAGGUUGCAUGGGGAUAAGAGAGGCAAGCGGCCAGUGGAAAACGGUUUUUUGUUUUUUUUUUCCUAACAGUUGGGCAUUUCUGUAGCUCUGAAAGCAAACUUGUUUGUUUCAUUUCAACGAUAGAAAAAAAACACUCCUGUUUUGGAAAUGUAACCCAGCAUAAAAAUACAUUUGCAAUGGGGAAAAAGAAAGCAGUUUAGGGCCACCCAGAAGAAAAUAUUUUUUCCCUGAUUUUUUUUUAAUUUGGUAUUUCCCAGUGUGGGUUUGCCUCAUUUUACAAAUAGCUGCCCAUGUCAAGAUGUGGGUAUGUGAUUUAAAUAUUUUAAUUUGAAUCACAUUUUACAUAGUCUAGGAAACUGACAAAAGAAUCCUAUAGAGAAUUGUUUUAUAAAGUGAAUAACUGCUUCUCUACCUACCCGCCCCUCUCAUUCUUCUUUUCUGUGCGUGUUUUUGGGGGGCUGUUAUGGGAUAAAUCUUGUUUGGCUUAAAAAUCACUAAAACGCAGCCUUUCAAAUCCAAAACAGAGAGCUUAGGUACCCAACAUUCUAUAGAAUGUAUUAUUUCCUCAAGAGGUUGCUAGGAACAGUUAUGUAGAUCUACCAGGUGCAGGGAAGCACUCCACACCCUCACCCAGGUCCUGUAUCCCUGCAAGACUGCGUUGGAAAGACUGAAGAGGCUGGAGUGCAGUGGCGCAAUCUUGGCUCACAGGAACCUCCGCCUCCCAGGUUCAAGAGAUUCUCAUGCCUCAGCCUCGCGAGUAGCUGGAAUUACAGAGCUGACAAGCCAUAGCAGGACGGCUAUCCCCUGAGAGAUAGGAGAGGAGGAGAAACAGCCUGACAGGGGCCUGGAGCAGCUGGCUGGCGUCAGUAAUUUCCUGCAGGAGACUCUGCUGGCCGAGCACACAUCACCCUUCUGUUGCUCCUCUGUAUUCUCCCUUGUGCUACUAAAAUACGCUAAUGUAACUCCUGGGCUGUGCUAAGCUAAAUGCAGUUAUUUAACCUCAUUUCUAUGGAACCCAGGUCUAAAGCAGCAACAUCUAUUUGGAACAAGAUGGGGAGGAGGUAAGCCCCAAACAUCCCUGAGCAGCAGGAAUACACAUUACAAAGUUUCUCUUUCCACACAGAAGAGACUUCUGGGCCCUUGCUUGAGACCACUGACUUUUACUUAACACCUAGGUCUAGUUAGCUUGGUGAACUGCUUUCUGACACCUGAACAGGUUGGAAGCAGGGAAUCGAAGGUGAGGAAAGACUGCCACAAACAGGAGCCAAGAAUUAAGAGCCAAACCAAGGAGGUGACAUUCACGACGACAACUGUGGAUGGAAAUCCUGCCCAAAGGGGGAUGUUGGAUGAAUGGCUCCUAAGUCCCCUUCCAACAUUUCAGUUCAUGGCUCUGAGUGUCCCUGGUUUGAUUGUGAUGGUAAAGGCAGAUAAGAGGGCGAGGGAGACCUCCGUGGAGAGCUGGUGCCCAGCAGGAGGUGUGGCCCUGUGUUUUAGUGCUCAGGAAUACUUGCCUGCUUUUGCUGGAGUCCUCUGGGCUCAAUAUGUGCUCUUGACCCCCACUUCAUUUUUUUUUUUUUUUUUUUUGCCAGCAAGAGUGAAUUCAUGCUCUUCUUCAUGGAGGUGGAUGUUUCUGGAAGGAGGUUUGUGAUGUCCUUUGCAGGGACAUGGAUGGAGUUGGAAGCCCUUAUCCUCAGCAAACUAAUGCAGGAACAGAAAACCAAACACUGCAUGUUCUUACUUAUAAGUGGGAACUGAAUGAUGAGAACACAUGGACACAUAAGGGGAAAUGACACACACUGGGGCCUGUCAGAGCUGAGGGGUUGUGGGGAGAGGGAGAGAAUCAGGAAUAAUGGCUAAUGUAUGCUGUGCUUAAUAUCUAGGUGAUGGGAUGAUCUGUGCAGCAAACCACCAUGGCACACGUUUACCUAUGUAACAAACCUGGACAUCCUGCACAUGUAUCCUGGAACUUAAAAUAAAAGUUGAAGAAAAAAAAAAAAGAAAAAGUUUUGUGAAGUCUGGAGGUGUAAUGGACAGACACAGGCUUAGGGUGAGGCAGGCCCAUGUUCAGAUCCUUGCUUCCUCACUAAGCUAGCAGGGAGACUGGCUAUAUCACCGAGCCUCAGUUUCCUCACCUGUACAUCUGCUGUAGAAGUGGCAUAUCAUAUGCUGUCCUGGCUGUGACCUUUGGUAGCUCAUCACUGCCCUUCUUACUGUUCUCAGGGUAAACCCCUUUCCAGGCAGAGUUGCCAAGACACCCAGUAAAAUUUGAAUUUCAGAUAAACACUGAAUAAUUUUUUAGUAUAAUGAUGCUCCAAAUAUUGCAUGGGAUAUACUUAACACUAAAAAAAAAAUCAUUGUUUGUCUGAAAUUCAGAUUUAACUGGGCAACCUGCAUUUUUAAAUAAACUUUUAAUUUUAGAAUCAUUUUAGAUUUACAGAAAAAAAUAUAAAGAUCGUACAGAGUUACCACACACCCUGCACCCAGUUUCCCCUAUAACUAAUAUCUUACGUCGAGCCAGUGCAGUGGCGCACAUUUGUAAUCCUAGCUGCUCAGGAGGCUGAGGUGGGAGUAUUGUUUGAGCCCAGGAGCUCGAGGCUGCAGUGAGCCAUGAUUGCACCAUUGCACUCCAGCCUGAGUGACGGAGUAAGAUGCCAUCUUUUAAAAAAAAAUCUUAUGCCAGUAUGAUACAUUUGUCACAAUUAAUGAACUAAGAUUGAUAUAUUAUCAUUAACUAAAGUCUAUACUUCAUUAGAUUUCCUUAGUUUUUCCCCAGUGUCCUUUUCUAUUCCAGGAUCCUGUCCAGGACACCAUAUCAUAUUUAGUUGUCAAGUCUUCCUAGUUCCUCUUGGCUGUGACAGUUUUUUAGACUUCCCUUGUUUUUGAUGACCUUGACCGUUUUGAGGAGCACUGGUCUGGGGUUUUGUAGAAUGCCCCUCAAUUCAGCCUGUCAGAUGUUUUUCUCAUGAUUAGGCUGGGGUAUUAUUUUUUUGGGAGGAAGACCACAGAGGUCAAGAGCCAUUCUCUUCACAUCUCGUUAAGGGUCUGUACUGUCCAUAUGACUUACCACUGUUGAUGUUGACCUUGAUCACCUGGCUAAGGUAGUGUUCAUCAGGUUUAGCAACUGUAUUUUCAUUUGCUAAAUCUGUAACUCGAUUCCAGGCCUGUCAGUCUUUCAUGACCAGACCUUUGCUUACUGCUGCUGCCAUUUUUCUGCUCCAACCAUAGUGAACUGCUAACAAUUCCUCUAAUGAACUAUUCUCUGUCUCUCUUACUGCCAGGCCUUAGGGCUUGCUCUUUCCUUUGCCUGGAAUGUUCCACUCCCCCACAGCCUCCCAUCCACACCUCCCCUUCACCCGAUUAACUUACUUUUCAGUUGGGCUUCAGUGUUCCGCUUAGGUCUCACUCCUUCCGGGAAGAUUUCUUGCACCCUCCUCUGCCAAGACCAGGUUAGGUGUUGCUUCUCUGCCCUGGUCCUACUGUGUUGUGAUAUUUACCAUCCUGUGGUUGUGAACUGUUUGCUUGUCUCCCUGACCCCAGUGCAUCCCUGACAUCUUACACAGUGCCUUGUUGCAACUCAAUAAAUAAUUGCUGAAUAAAUGAAUGGUUACACCAGGCACUUCAGGUAAAGCCUUUAACACACUACCUGCCUUGUAAACAGUAGAUGCUCAGUAAAUGCUUGUCUUUUUCAAUGUAGGAAAAAUAAUCUUCCCUAGAUCUGAGCAACUGUAAUAAGUUUGUGCUCGCCCGACACCCGCAACACAUGUCCCUACCUGGAGAAGAGAUUCUGGAACAGUGGUCUCCUAGGAUUCCCUGAGAGCCACAGUUACCUGUAUCAAAGUAUCAAGGAGGCCACUUAAUGACAGAGAUAUUAGGGUAAGUAGGCUACUUUCCGUCAGUUUGCAGAUUAAAAAGGCAUCUUUCUCCCAGUGGAGAAACUGAAUUAUGAACCCCUUCGCCCAGAUUUCCAUAGUUGGACGCGCUGACCCAUUAUUUUUAGUGAAAGGGACAAAGGGACCCACCUCCUUCUCUUUUUGCUGCCCAUGUGCCACACACAUGUAAAUGACAUGUGUACCUAUUGUUGCUUGUCCUUGAUGAUGAGUACACUUGUACAUUGAUAUAUUUAUUAGUGUUUUGCUUUUCACUAAUCCAGCAUAGUUGUGACCCCACCCCUGAGACCUAAAGGAAGGAGACACCUCAUAGGGGGUCUCAGGAAUCUCUGAUGAACCUUAGGACUAAUUAUAAUUCUUUCAUUUAUUAUAACUUCAUGCCAGGUAUUUUAUCUGCCUCACCUCUAAUCCUCUCAAUAACCUUGCAUGUUUUUAUUCAUCCCGUAUUACAAAUGAGAAAGCUAAGGUUUGGGUGCUUAAGAAAUUUUCCCCAAGUUUUUUUUGUGGUGGAGCCAGCUUGGAGCUAGGGCAAUAGACUUCAGAGUCUCAGCUCCAUCCUCUCCAUGGUUCAGAAAGUUCUCUAGUUCUGUAAGAGACAGCCAACAUCCCCCAAGGGCUUGUGCUCAUUGGAAUGGCUCUCGGGUCCACUCCUCCCUUUGUAUCCCCAGGUCACCUCACUAGAGCAGACCUCCAUCAGUCAGUGUUUACCCACCUUCCAGAGCCUCCUUCCUGGACUCUUGCCCCCGGAUUCCCCACCCAUAGCACUCUCACACUGCCAUCGCCCAACUCAGGAUCCCAAGAAUGCCCAUUUUCAGCCUUAUAAAUCCUUUGCCUUGCUUCCAAGACCCUAUGGUCUAUUUCUUUUCCAAGCCUUCUCUCCGUGCAUCAGAUUCUUCAUGAAACUUACACUGACUAGUCCCCCACCCAUCUCCCUUUCCUUGGAUCUUCAUGGCACCUAGGUAUGCAAGGCAUAAAGUAGUGUAGAAUGCCCUUCUGGCUUGUGUGGAACCACAGGGGAGUCCCCUGGGUUUCUAAUAUGGUUUUCCCAUCUGGAUUGACACCCCCGAAGGACAAAAACCUCUUGUUAAAAAAGUCAACUUUAUUGAGGUAUAACAUACAUACACCCUGUUUUAAGUGUUGAGUUUGAUAAGGUUUGACAAAUGUAUACACCCAGGUAACCACCGUCACAACCAAGAUAUAGAACAUUUCUAUCACCCCAGAAAUACCUCUGAGCCCCUUUGUAGUCAAUUCCUCCACCCCCGACCCAGGAAGCCACUUGUUGGAUUUCUAUUAAUAUAGAUUAGUUUUGCCUGCCGUUGAACUCCACAAAAAUGCAGUCACAAAGGGUGUAGUCUUUUGUGUCAGCCUAUUUUGGUUAGCACGAUAUUUUAAAGAUUCCUCCAUACUGUUUAUUACUUUCUUCUUGCUGAGUAGUAUUCUAUGGUAGAGACUAUACUACAACUUGAUUGUCCAUGUUGACUAAAUUUGAGGCUGUUUCACAUUUUUGGCUAUUGUGAAUAAAGUAGCUAUGAAUGUUUACACACAAGCCUUUUGUGAAUGUGUUUUCAUUUCUU
rnacentral:lncRNA from 1 species